rnacentral:misc_RNA from 1 species
UGCCUUGCGAAAGCAAAUUGACUUCACACACACACACACACACACACACGCACACAUGUGUGUGUGCGGGCGAAGCGGGUUGUUGGCACAGUCCUUUGCACACGCUCGCGACAAGCAGUCAUCUAUGUAAACACAAGCGCACGGCCCGCACCCUUCACAAUUACCGCGAUAUACACGCGCAUCUGCUUUCUUUACGUACGUUCAAGAGCAACAGCGCCGAAAGAUGAACCCGGAGGCGAGACAAGUGGCCGUAUGGGAGCGGCUGCGAAACGAGGCGCGGCAGACAGACCAGCUCAUUGAUCAACAGCUUCGCAAGCUGGAGGUGCUGGCGCUUUUCGAUGAAGAAAAGAUUAUUGAAAGCGCGGCCGCCUCGUCUUCUAUGAAGGGCGUCGGCACUUCGAGCUCGGUGACCCCGGCGGUCCCUGGCUCGAGUUCCAGUCUUCUACACAGCAGUGGCACCAGCCCACCCCCAGCGUCCACGAUGUCGUUUGAAGAUGUGGAGUCUCAGUACCGCGGCGCCGAUCGCGACAUCGACGAGUUUCUCCAUCGGCUAGAGCAAACUGUGCUGAGCAUGGAGGACGCGUGCAGAGAGCUCGGCCCCUCGUCAGCAGCAGCGCGACACACCGAGCGCUUCCGAGGAAUGUUGACUGAGAAGCAGCAGGCGCGUCGUCGUCUUGCGACGGAGUUCCGACAGCGAAAGGAUCGCUAUGAGCUGGCUGCGUCGCGGCUAGCGGGCGACGCGCGACGGCGGGGUGGUCCUGUCGACGAUGAUGCUAGAGGCGGUGUGCGCAUCCUCAUGGACGAGCAAGUGGCCAUUCAGCACACCUUGAACCGCGUGAAUGGUCUGCUGGAGCAGGCGGAGGGCACGCGAGAUCGACUGCGCAUGCAGCGCGAGCGGUUCAACCAAAUAGGUGACAAGGUGCUGCACAUUGCCGAGCACAUUCCAUUUGUGCAGAACCUUGUCCGCCGCAUCGACGUGCGACGGCGACGCGAGGUGGUGGUGUUGGGUACCGUCAUCUCGUCUCUCAUGUUCAUGUUUUUCUUUUUCCUAUAGUGGCGUUAUGUGCGCGUACUCGCGUGCGUGCGUCCACAGGAGUUUUUUUUUUUGGACAUGAACGGCGGACAUGCACGUGUUGUGGUGUGUUGCUCUCGAUUCCUGUUGCGUUUUUCGUUUGUUGUGAUCUGGACGGCGACGCUCUUUUUGAACUCGGACGCCCCAUACGAUCUCCUCUCUUCUCCCCCUCCUCUCUCCUUGCUUCUGCAUCGCGAUACAGGUACGAAGAAGAUUAGAGGCACUUCCACAUGCCGCCCAUCG